rnacentral:rRNA from 1 species
CCUACGGGAGGCAGCAGUCGAGAAUCAUUCACAAUGGGGGAAACCCUGAUGGUGCGACGCCGCGUGGGGGAAUGAAGGUCUUCGGAUUGUAAACCCCUGUCAUGUGGGAGCAAAUUAAAAAGAUAGUACCACAAGAGGAAGAGACGGCUAACUCUGUGCCAGCAGCCGCGGUAAUACAGAGGUCUCAAGCGUUGUUCGGAAUAACUGGGCGUAAAGUGUGCGUAGGCUGUUUCGUAAGUCGUGUGUGAAAGGCGCGGGCUCAACCCGCGGACGGCACAUGAUACUGCGAGACUAGAGUAAUGGAGGGGGAACCGGAAUUCUCGGUGUAGCAGUGAAAUGCGUAGAUAGCGAGAGGAACACUCGUGGCGAAGGCGGGUUCCUGGACAUUAACUGACGCUGAGGCACGAAGGCCAGGGGAGCGAAAGGGAUUAGAUACCCCUGUAGAC